rnacentral:rRNA from 1 species
GACGAACGCUGGCGGCGUGCUUAACACAUGCAAGUCGUACGGGAAGGCCCUUUCGGGGGUGCACGCGUGGCGAACGGGGGGGUAAAACGUGGGUAACCUGCCCACAACUUUGGGAUAAAGCCAGGAAAAUGGGGCUAAUACUGGAUAUGUGCUCCUUCUGCAUGGGGGGGGUUGGAAAGCUCCGGCGGUUGUGGAUGGACCCGCGGCCUAUCAGCUUGGUGGUGGGGUAGUGGCCUACCAAGGCGGCGACGGGUAGCCGGCCUGAGAGGGUGACCGGCCACAUUGGGACUGAGAUACGGCCCAGACUCCUACAGGAGGCAGCAGUGGGGAAUAUUGCACAAUGGGCGCAAGCCUGAUGCAGGAUCGCCGCGUGCGGGAUGACGGCCUUUGGGUUGUAAACCGCGUUCAGCAGGGACGGAGCUGUUUGUGACGGUACCUGCAGAAGAAGCACCGGCUAACUACGUG